GAUGAAAACGUAGCGAAAUGCGAUAAGUAAUGUGAAUUGCAGAAUUCAGUGAAUCAUCGAAUCUUUGAACGCACAUUGCGCCCGCCAGUAUUCUGGCGGGCAUGCCUGUUCGAGCGUCAUUUCAACCAUCAAGCCCCAGGCUUGUGUUGGGGACCUGCGGCUGCCGCAGGCCCUGAAAACCAGUGGCGGGCUCGCUGUCACACCGGGCGUAGUAGAUUUUAUCUCGCUCAGGGCGUGCUGCGGGUUCCGGCCGUUAAAAAGCCUUUUUUACCCAAGGUUGACCUCGGAUCAGGUAGGAAGACCCGCUGAACUUAAGCAUAUCAAUAAGCGGAGGA
rnacentral:misc_RNA from 1 species